ACAAGGGUGCUGUAUAUUAGAUUAUUUAUCAGAAAAGUAUCAAACAUUUAAGGACAAUGUUAGAAUUUUAAUUUUUUUUUAAAUUGUGUAGCAUUUAUCUUGUUGAUUUCUUACAAAAGAAAAAGGACGAUGUCAGUCAAGCAGCACUUUUUUCAAGAUAUACAGAACAUAAAUAAUAUGAUGUGGUUGAGUGUUAACAUAAUAAAUCAUAUACAGUAUGACAUUUUAAGGAAAUAAGUCUGCAUUGAUGUGAUUGCAUGCUUGUUUUUACAGUUCACUCCAUACCAUCUGUGGAAAAAAAUGCAAUAAUAUGUUAAUAUAGUAUGGUAGUUCGAGAGAAUCAGGUAGGUGCCUCUAGACACAUUGAAACUAGAAUAGGUCUAUAAACUGCUCAUAUCUUUCAAUGCAUAAUCUUUAGAAAGACUCCACACAGCAAAAAUUCAUCCUGUUAGUACAAAACGGAAAGGUUCUUAUUGCUAAGUAUGUUGUAUAACUGUAUCAUCAGUUACUAUUUAAAGCCUAAUUUCAGGAUACAUUUACAAAAUUGCUACUCUUCAUCGAUGUUGUAUUUAUAACCUUCAUCUAUAUUCUACUUGGCUCCAACUGCUAAAAUUGUUGCCUAAAUAACAGAAACAUUAUUUAUAACACUAUAAAAUUAGAAACCCCAAAUUGUUUGCAUUUCAAGACUUUUGACUCUUUUGACCCUUCUGAGAAAUACACCAACCCAUUAGAACUUGUAAAAUAAAAUCACUGGCAGAUAAAAAAUUAGUGGGCUCUAAUCAAAUGAUUUUCAGUCAAACGUAGCUAAUUUUGAUUGAAUAACAUUUCCUGACAUGGAACAAAAGUGAUGGAGUUAUACUUUCCUGUAUUGAAAGCUUAUUUGAUUUUCAAUGAAGGAAUCAAGUUACGAGAAUUGUAGGCAUUCCCCAUUCCAGCAAAUAAAAAAUAAAUAAAUAAAUGAAAUCAGAUUUCUAAAUUGGACUCAUGUCAACGGAAAAACCUGAAAUAUGCCCAGUCAUAUGCACAUGGAGCUGAUCUCUGUCUCUGCCAAAAGAGUUCAGUAGAUAGGAAACACAGUGAAAAGGGUGUGUGUGUACACUCCUCAAAGGCCAAGAGCAUCAUUCACUACAAAAGGAAGUUCCUCUCUGCCAGAAAUGUUUACAGUGUACAUUGAUUGUCCUCCAUCAGUAAGAUCUAACCAGAAUUAUUCUUGUCUUCUUUUCCUUUUUGAAUGUCCUGGGAAGAAUGGUGGGACCAAAACUAUAAGG
rnacentral:lncRNA from 1 species